rnacentral:rRNA from 1 species
AUUGAACGCUGGCGGCAUGCCUUACACAUGCAAGUCGAACGGCAGCACGGGGCAGCCUGGUGGCGAGUGGCGAACGGGUGAGUAAUGCAUCGGAACGUACCUUUCAGUGGGGGAUAACGUAGCGAAAGUUACGCUAAUACCGCAUAUUCUGUGAGCAGGAAAGCAGGGGAUCGCAAGACCUUGCGCUGAUUGAGCGGCCGAUGUCAGAUUAGCUAGUUGGUGAGGUAAAGGCUCACCAAGGCGACGAUCUGUAGCGGGUCUGAGAGGAUGAUCCGCCACACUGGAACUGAGACACGGUCCAGACUCCUACGGGAGGCAGCAGAGGGGAAUUUUGGACAAUGGGGGCAACCCUGAUCCAGCCAUGCCGCGUGAGUGAAGAAGGCCUUCGGGUUGUAAAGCUCUUUCGGCCGGGAAGAAAUCGCACGGGCUAAUACCCUGUGUGGAUGACGGUACCGGAAUAAGAAGCACCGGCUAACUACGUGCCAGCCGCCGCGGUAAGAC